AUGACUCUAAGUUUUAGGGCUGCAUGUGCAGCAUAUGGGAGUUCCCAGGCUAGGGGUCGAAUUAGAGCUACAGCUGCUGGCCUAUGCCACAGCUGCAGCAACACCAGAUCCAAGCUACGUCUGCGACCUACACAAGAUAGAUGCGGCCGGAGCUGCUGCGGAGCCUCGGGCCGUUCGCUCCCACUCCUGGCUCACCGCUGUUCGCUCUCCGGCAAGACUCCCGUGGAGCCGGAGGUUGCGAUUCACCGGAUUCGGAUCACCCUCACCAGCCGCAACGUGAAGUCUUUGGAGAAGGUGUGUGCUGACCUGAUCAGAGGCGCGAAGGAGAAGAAUCUCAAAGUGAAGGGACCGGAGCGGAUGCCCACCAAGACUCUGAGAAUAACUACGAGAAAAACCCCUUGUGGUGAAGGUUCCAAGACUUGGGAUCAUUUUCAGAUGAGGAGCCACAAGCGACUCAUAGACCUGCACAGCCCUUCUGAGAUUGUUAAGCAGAUCACAUCCAUCAGCAUUGAACCAGGAGUCGAGGUUGAAGUCACCAUUGCAGAUGUUUAAGUCCAACUUUUAAAUAAAUUGAUACUCAGUUGUUAAAAAAAAAAAAAAA